CUGGGGAUAUAGCUCGGUUGGUAGAGUACUUGCCUUGCAUGCACAAAGCCCUGGGUUUGAUCCCCAGCACCAGA
rnacentral:tRNA from 1 species